rnacentral:rRNA from 1 species
UACGUAGGUGGCAAGCGUUAUCCGGAUUUACUGGGUGUAAAGGGCGUGUAGGCGGGGACGCAAGUCAGAUGUGAAAACCACGGGCUCAACCUGUGGCCUGCAUUUGAAACUGUGUUUCUUGAGUACUGGAGAGGCAGACGGAAUUCCUAGUGUAGCGGUGAAAUGCGUAGAUAUUAGGAGGAACAUCAGUGGCGAAGGCGGUCUGCUGGACAGCAACUGACGCUGAGGCGCGAAAGCGUGGGGAGCAAACAGG